rnacentral:lncRNA from 8 species
AUGGCAUCUUUACAGACAAUGCCACUUCCAAAAAAAAAUUACCCCAGAAUAUCUACUCAAAGGUUAAAAAGUAAAUACAUAAAUAUGAAACUGUUGCCAGGGAAUUUCAAGUCAUGGUGUCCACUAAAAAUAGUUUCACCUUGCAACAUUGCAGUCUGGCAGUCCGAACAGUGCCUGGUCAAACGUCCCUGUCCAGUGUCCACUCCACACUGUGCUGGUUGGGGGAGGAACUCGACCCAAUUUCCCCUGCUCCUACUUCUCUCCUUGUGCCUGUAUCUAUCUCUCUGGAAAAUGAAAUAUGCUAAUAACAGAGAUAUGAAGCACCCUCUAGUAAGGAUGAGAAACGUUCAUUCCCAGUCCUCUCUGGGGAGUGACACCGACUCGCAGCCUGUCCUGAAAUUAGAGGAGGAGGAGGUAACACUAGAGGAGGAGAAAGAGAGGGAAGAGGAGAAAAAAGGGGACGUAUUGACGGACUCAGAGCUGGAUCCAGAGUUGCCUGAGGAGUAUUCCCAUGGCCUGGAGGACCUGAGGUGGAACCUGAGCUCUCUAGAGAAGGCUGUAUAUCUCAGCCUGCCACCGUGGGUCCAGAGAGCAUUGCUGUGCAACCUCAUGGCUAAAUGUGGUGUAAACAACUCAUUCUUCCCAGCCCGUCUGCUGUCCUACCUGCUGCUGCCCUACAUACUGCCAGCCUCUAUCUUUCUCCAUGUCAACUACAGGGUGCUGUGUUGGCUCCGCCAAGUCCCAGGGAAGUGGCUGUGGCCGGGUGUCGAAAUGGCUGUGCCAUUCCUUCUAAAGCUCUCUCACCCCAGGAAGAACCUCAUGCACAGGCUUGGCGUCACUGUCUGUCACCAGGCCCAAGACUCUGCCACUCCCACCAAGAUGCAGGAUGUGUUCACCUGUCUGUCCUCCAUACCAAUUUAUGCCUAAUGAGCAGGUGGAAGGUACACGCACGCACGCAAACACACACACACACACACACACACACACACACACACACACACACACACACACACACACAAUUGAUUAAUUUGCUGUAGCUAUAAAACAUUUCAGCACAUACAGUAUAUUACUAAGGGAUGUCUGGGUCAACAAAUUAGAAGUUGUGUGAAAUUACAUUUAUACAAGACAAGGUACAGGGCAAGGGCUUUACAUAUCAUGUCAGCUUGUUUUUGUCCUCUUUUCCUGCUCGCACUUCACAUGUCCCAUCAUCCAAGUGUCAGGUUGUUCAUGUCAUACUCCUUAUCAAAUGACACAAGCUAAGGGCAAAAAGGCACUUUACGCUAGCUAACCUCAAGGACAAAGAUCAUCUUAUCCUGUAGAGGUCAUAGUCUAAACGUUUAUCUGCUGUAGUUGGUUUGCCUUGAUGAAACGGACGGCCAAAUUAUAUUCUAAAGGGAGUAAUGGUAAUAGGGUGCCAGUUAAAGGGGAGGGUGUCUUUUGCAAAAUUACUGUUAACAUGAUUUCAUUAUAUAGAUCUUAUCUCUCCUAUGUAUUGUCAGGAAGCACAAGUUAUUUCAUGGUGUAACUCAGAAAGGCGGCACCUUGGUCUGUUCACUACGACGCCUGUGACAACCUGACCAUUGUUUACAUUGUUGUAGGCAACCAGUCUGCCUAGGGAGACUAAAACGUACCAGACCUUUGCGAAUUUUCAGGAAGUUAGUUGAAAUUACAUCUUAUUGGCGACAGGGAUAUCCAGAGAACCGAGGCUGAACGUUGCGUUGCGUCAGUCGCCUGCUGUCCCUAACAUGAGCAUAACUUCCUUGUUGACAAUAUGUAUUUGCUGUAGAUUAGGAACUUGAAAGAGUGCUAGGUGCAAAGGUAAGUUUGAAUCUCCCUAGGCAGACAGGUUACCUCCCACAAUGCAAAUAAUAUUCUAGUGCUGUUGCCCUAGGACUGGGAUUUCCGAGUUAUGCAAUGAUAUACCUUUGUGCUUCCUGCUCAUGGAAAUUAAAACCCUGGUUUCUGUAUCCCAGCUCUCUUCCUUUCGAUGUCUGUGUGGUAAACUCCCUGGCUGUCAACCACUGAUCAUUUUAACAAUUUAUAGACCACCUAAGUCAUCUGAUCUGUUUUUAUGUGAACUGUCCUCAUUAAUGGC